rnacentral:lncRNA from 1 species
GGACGGACUGACUGACGGACUGAUGGACGGACGGACUGACGGACGGACGGACUGACAGACAGAGGUAAAACAGUAUACCCCCCCCCUUUUUUUUAAAGCGGGGGUAUAAUUACAGAGCAUGUUGUGUACUUUACAUAUAAUUUAGUUUGUAAAUUCGGUUGUACUUGUAGUAAAAAUAUUUCAACAUGUAUAGCAUAUCCUAAUUUUUACGGACAUGUUAUUUACCGUACUAAGCAAUUUAGAUACCACCCGGGUUAAGUAUUGGAUCCUUUAAAUAAAGUUACUCUAAAAGGUUACCAAUUCAACCUUUAAAUAUUGUUUGUAUUGAUAUAACUAUUGGUUUUGUUGUCACUUAAUUAAAUCCGCACACAUUAUUGUUAAAUACGCCUACAUAUUCAUAUUCUAAUGUUAAUUAUUAGAAAAGAGUAAAAAUGAUAAAAAACAUCUAGAUCCUGUUCUGUUAGGGAUGUAUUGAGAGAAAACUGACCACCCUCCAACAAGCAACACCUACGAAAAUGACUGGUGUGUUCUGUAGAGAUGGGACAAAUGUGAAUUUCAAACAGGAUAAGUUGGAAUUACUGUUUUUGGAAGAUAAUUUAUUACUCACAAAUAGCAUUCCUUAGGUGAAUGAUUUGCUACAAGUUGAUUUAGAGUACUAAUCAUCUCGCCAUUUUUUUUUAUUCAAGAUGUGUUUGCAAAAUAAAUUGCUGGCGGAUUAUAUCGAAAUAAUAUGAUACUUUACAUUCACCACCCCGAACAUCCGUUGUCCUGCUUCCUUGAGUGUUGUUAGAUAUCUUAACGUGGCACUUUUUGUACUUAAUUAAGUUUCAAUAUGGUUGUUAUUUACUACAAAGCACGUUUCCCGCUCUUUUCCAUUAAAACCAGACUACUACAUUACAACCAUCCCUUCUCUAACGCCCAAGUGUGACACUCAUUUAGCCAUUUAAGUUUGCUACAUAUGUUAAAUUCUAUAACACACCAUCAUUAACUAGAGGCUCUAAAGAGCCUGUGUCGCUCACCUUGGUAUAUGUGAAUAUUAAACAAAAGAAACAGAUGG